rnacentral:lncRNA from 1 species
UCUCGAAGCGUCGCUCGAAACCGUCUUUGGGCCUCCACAUAUCCACCAGCUGUAAGGGACAUUCCCAGGACGCUACACCCCUCCGGCACUCCGUUUGCCAUUUAACAGCUCCAUCUGCCUGGUGAAUGGGCUUUCCAAUGACAUCACACAACAGGAAGUCCUCGGGGAAAUAUUUCUGGAGAGCUGACCAGGUGAACAGGAAGUCGGGACAUUCAGAAGGGAAAGGCACAAUGAGCGGCGGGUGAUGACCUGCUGAAUGAGCUGGCGGGCAGUGGAGUGCAUAUUCGCCAGCAGGCUCCUGUAGUUGGCUCCACUGGACAGGGCAUCUCCAUAGAUCUUGACCAGCCCGGGAGCAUUAGAGGAGGCUGGUGGCAGGUAGUGAUGGGAUGAAGGGGUGGCUGAAUGCGCCCAUAUCUCCCUUUCUCGUUCUCCAAUGGCCCGGUCCCUGUCGCUAUUGGACCGGCCCCUCAGAAAGAGGUGGGACAGACGCUUGGCCCGGGAUUGCUGAUUGGCCGGGCGAGGGCGGAGGAAGGCGGGGGAAGGGGAUGGAGAGGGUGGGGCUAGAGAAGGGGUGGAGUGAGAGAGGGAGGAGGGGACUGAUGAUGGGGCCUCGUGCACUGAAGCGGCAUCUGAGCUCGUGGUGGAUCUGAUGGCAACAGAAAAAAGAUGAGCCACAUCUGUCAUCUUUUAAGCUACCUAAACAUGCAGUGCUGUAUGUGGGUCAAAGAUAAGAAAGGUCCCAUUUUUUUUUCUGAAUCAAAUUUAGUUUACAAAAGUCAUAUUAUAUACAGUUUUAUUAUAGCAUUAUUAAUAGAGAGAUAUUUUUUCA